rnacentral:rRNA from 1 species
AUUGAACGCUGGCGGAAUGCUUUACACAUGAAAGUCGAACGGCAGCACGGACUUCAGUCUGGUGGCGAGUGGCGAACGGGUGAGUAAUGUAUCGGAACGUGCCCAGUCGUGGGGGAUAACGUAGUGAAAAUUACGCUAAUACCGCAUACGAUCUAUGGAUGAAAGCGGGGGAUCGCAAGACCUCGCGCGAUGGGAGCGGCCGAUAUCAGAUUAGGUAGUUGGUGGGGUAAAGGCCCACCAAGCCAACGAUCUGUAGCUGGUCUGAGAGGACGACCAGCCACACUGGAACUGAGACACGGUCCAGACUCCUACGGGAGGCAGCAGUGGGGAAUUUUGGACAAUGGGCGAAAGCCUGAUCCAGCCAUUCCGCGUGCAGGAUGAAGGCCCUCGGGUUGUAAACUGCUUUUGUACAGAACGAAAAAGUUUCUACUAAUACUUGGAGCUCAUGACGGUACUGUAAGAAUAAGCACCGGCUAACUACGUGCCAGCAGCCGCAGUAA